UACGGGGGGGGCAAGCGUUGUUCGGAAUUACUGGGCGUAAAGGGCUCGUAGGCGGCCAACUAAGUCAGCCGUGAAAUCCCUCGGCUUAACCGGGGAACUGCGUCUGAUACUGGAUGGCUUGAGUUUGGGAGAGGGAUGCGGAAUUCCAGGUGUAGCGGUGAAAUGCGUAGAUAUCUGGAGGAACACCGGUGGCGAAGGCGGCAUCCUGGACCAACACUGACGCUGAGUGAGCGAAAGCCAGGGGAGCAAACGGG
rnacentral:rRNA from 1 species